GAUUAAUUGAUUUUGUCUUAAGAUAAAAAGUACUACAAAGAAUGUCCAAAAAUAUCAAAUGUUCUCUUUGCUAGGUUUUCUUGCUCCAAUACUAGUUCUUUGCUGCACUUCUUCUUUGUAAAAUUCUAAAAUUUUCUCUACUCGACACCUCAGAAUCUCUCAAAUCGCUAAAAUUACAACAUGUGAACCAUUCGGUAGAGACAACUCAAAAGCCCUAAUCACACAUUGUGAAUUGUGACUCCAUAAGGAAUAGCCUAUCAUCUAAAGCCAAAGAAGGAAGGAGGAAAGUUCAAAGUUUGAAAAUCAUUCUGAGGGUAAGCUAUUCGAAGCCAUUCGAAGGUUUGAAGGAUAAAUCUGAAGCUUGUGGCGGGCUGCGAAAGCAUAAGUUGCAAGCCUUUGUGUUCAGUACUAUGCAAAAGCUUUUUUGAGCAUGGAAAGCCGAGUUGCAAAGGAAUAUGGAACAGGAGUUGCAAAGGAGGUGGGAAUAGGAGCGUGAACAAGUGGAUAUAGAACAAUAAGCUGCUUUCAUGACCCGAAUGCAGCAGGUACUGCUAAUAUUUUUGUACUCUUCAUGACCUGGUAUUAUCAUAGAAGGAAAUUGGAUUCUAUAUCUUCAACAUGUGGCUUUUUAUCUGAAUCAACCUGAAUAGACUUUGGAACUGAAUUGUAGUAAUUACUGAUACUUGUGUUUUUUGUUAGAAUGAAUAAGAUAUUGUAAGCCUGCAUUAUUUACAUGCUCUUUUAAAUAUGGAACUUUGAAAGAGGCUUCUCCGA